rnacentral:rRNA from 1 species
UACGGAGGGUGCAAGCGUUAUCCGGAUUCACUGGGUUUAAAGGGUGCGUAGGCGGGCAGGUAAGUCAGUGGUGAAAUCCUAGAGCUUAACUCUAGGACUGCCAUUGAUACUAUCUGUCUUGAAUAUUGUGGAGGUAAGCGGAAUAUGUCAUGUAGCGGUGAAAUGCUUAGAUAUGACAUAGAACACCUAUUGCGAAGGCAGCUUACUACGCAUAUAUUGACGCUGAGGCACGAAAGCGUGGGGAUCAAACAGG